rnacentral:rRNA from 1 species
GAUGAACGCUGGCGGCGUGCCUAAUACAUGCAAGUCGAGCGGACAGACGAGGAGCUUGCUCGUUUGACGUUAGCGGAGGACGGGUGAGUAACGCGUGGAAACCCUACUUAUCAGUCUGGGAUAACUUGGGGACACCGGAUCUAAUCCGGGAUAAUAUAUUGAACCGCAGUGUUCAAUGGUAAGAGUCGGCUUUUGUGUAACGAAUCGAUGCAUCUGAGCCGCAUUAGCUGGUUGUUAAGGUAAAGGGUUACGAAGGCAAGGAUGCGUAGCCGACCUGACAGGGUGAUCGGCCACACGGGAACUGAGCCACGCUCCAUACUCCUACGAGAGGCAGCAGUAGCGAAUCGGCCGCAAUGGGCGAGAGCCUGGCGGAGCAAGGCGGCGUGAGUGGUGACGGUGUUCGGAUCGUAAAACUCUGUUAUUAGGGAAGAACAAAUUUGUAAGUAGAUGUGCAGGUAGUGACGGUACCGAAUAAGAAAGCAACGGCUAACUACGUG